ensembl:lncRNA
UAACCCUAUCUCCUGCAACCAUACUGUCAUCUCAGGGUAAGCCAGCCUUUCAGAAAACAACAUAGCCCUGAGUCAGAUCUGGAGGGGAAAAUCCUCAGCAAUAAAUCUGGAAGGACUUUGCACAGAGAUGUGAGUCUGCCCAAAGGGAUUAGAGGGGACAAAUGUGAGUGCCAGGACUGCUUGACCCCAAGGUUCCUGGCUCUGAAAUUUUCUCCCAUUGGAAAUCUACUCUGACUACUGCAGGACAAGCUUCCUGGCAGCAGGUAUCUCUGAUCAACACCGUAUCAGAAGAAAAUUAUUUGGAAGGGACAUGAAGCAACUUGCUUUGCUAUUUCAGGAGAUCAGCUUUAAAAUCCCUCCCGAUCUGGACCAAAGUAUGCAGCUGUCAUUUUGAGAGAGGCUUGCUCCAAGGAUAUCACUGCUGCUGGGGAGGAAAAGCCUACCUCAUCUUCAGGGUCAUUCUGCUGUUGAUCAUAAAUCAGCUGAAAAUGACCGCAAGGUAGUUCUGCUUUCAUUUUCAAAUGAGUUCUUCAAAUCUGUGGUUCUUUUCACUAACUGGGUUUCUAGAGAAAGCUGUAAAGUGUGUGAAAUCUGCUCUGUCUGCUUUGCUGGUGAGAAGAUGGGUGGACUGAUUAAUGUCAUGGCAAUCUCAUAUGUUAGCCACUUUCCUGCUGAAUGUAACUUUACCUGCUACCCCAAUGUGACUAGACUGCA